AUUGAACGCUGGCGGUAGGCCUAACACAUGCAAGUCGAACGAGUGGCGGACGGGUGAGUAAUGCAUCGGGAUCUACCCGGUCGAGGGGGAUAACUUAGGGAAACGUACGCUAAUACCGCAUACUAUAGAAUGAGCCGAUGUCGGAUUAGCUAGUGGGCGGGGUAAAGGCUCACCAAGGCGACGAUCCGUAGCUGGUCUGAGCGGAUGAUCAGCCACACUGGAACUGAGACACGGUCCAGACUCCGACGGGAGGCAGCAGUGGGGAAUAUUGGACAAUGGGCGCAAGCCUGAUCCAGCCAUACCGCGUGUGUGAAGAAGGCCUUAGGGUUGUAAAGCCCUUUUGUUGGGAAAGCGUUACCCAAAGAAUAAGCACCGGCUAACUUCGUGCCAGCAGCCGCGGUAAUUC
rnacentral:rRNA from 1 species